AUUGAACGCUGGCGGCAGGCCUAACACAUGCAAGUCGAACGAGUGGCGGACGGGUGAGUAAUGUAUGGGAAACUGCCUGAUGGAAGGGGAUAACUACUGGCAACGGUCGCUAAUACCGCAUACCAUCGGAUGUGCCCAGAUGGAAUUAGCUAGUAGGUGGGGUAACGGCUCACCUAGGCGACGAUACCUAGCUGGUCUGCGAGGUGGACCAGCCACAUGGGAACUGAGACACGGGCACGACGCCUACGGUAGGCAGCAGUGGUGAAUAUUGCACAAUGGGCGCAAGCCUGAUGCAGCUAUGCCGCGUGUAUGAAUAAGGCCUUCGGGUUGUAAAGUACUUUCAGCGGGGAGGCGUUACCCGCAGAAGAAGCACCUGCUAACUCCGUGCCAGCAGCCGCGGUAAUAC
rnacentral:rRNA from 1 species